rnacentral:rRNA from 1 species
AUUGAACGCUGGCGGCAGGCCUAACACAUGCAAGUCGAGCGAGCGGCGGACGGGUGAGUAAUGUAUGGGGACUGCCCGAUAGAGGGGGCUAACUACUGGAAACGGUGGCUAAUACCGCAUACUAUCGGAUAACCCAUAUGGGAUUAGCUAGUAGGUGGGGUAAAGGCUCACCUAGGCGACGAUCUCUAGCUGGUCUGAGAGGAGGAUCACCCACACUGGGACUGAGACACGGUCCAGACUCCUACGGAGGCAGCCGUGGGGAAGAUUGGACAAUGGGCGAGAGCCUUAUCCAGCCAUGCCGCGUGUAUGAAGACGGCCUGCGGGUUGUAAAGUACUUUCAGUCGGGAGGCGUUACCGACAGAAGAAUCACCGGCUAACUCCGUGCCAGCAGCCGCGGUAAUAC